GAAGCCGAAUUGGUAAAGCGCUUAUGGCUAUUUACCGUAGGUUGAUGGUUCGAUUCCAUCCUGCAGCA